rnacentral:lncRNA from 1 species
UACAUUGAAUACUUUGUCAUUUGGAAAGAACCACAACUAGUAUAACCUUCUCUAAGAAUGUCUUGGGUUUUUCAGACUAUUUCAGUUUUUAAACAACAGAGUACACUGCAGAAAAUUACUUUCUAAUAUAACCCCAGAUCUUCACCUGAGUAAGGAGAGGAGAGAGACAGGAUCUGGCUGUGUAGCCCUGACUAGGCCAGACCGUACUGUGUAGCCAUGCUGGCCUUGACCUUGCGGUGAUCCUCCUUCCUCUGCCUGCCAGUGUCAGAGGCAUGGGCCGCGGCCUCCAGCAAAUCCAUCUUAAAUGAUUGCAGGAGGUUUUAUUUACUGAGAUUUGUCCAUUUGCACUGAGUUGUUUAUGAAAAGCAACAGCAUCGUUUAUAUUUUCUCUUCUGUGUUCAUUGCUUCUGACCUUUCCUUUGUCUUUCUUUGAACUGCUAGCAGUUUCAAUAUGGUUUGUACUGGACGCAUCACACAUUUCACAGGGGAUUCUCUACUCCUCCUACAUAGAGAAAUCACAUUUUCUCUUCUGCUUUUCAAUUUAACGUUUCUUUGAACGUUUUUAUUUUAAAGGUCUUCCCACUGCCCAGACACUAAUGAAUCUUUUUAUGAUGACACAAAGACACUUUAUUCCUAGAGAGCUGGUCCAAACUGGCUCAUCUACUCUUCCCUUUGUCAAGCACAGUCUCAUUUGAGGUCACUAUAAAGGCCAACAUUAUCCAAAGCAGCGAUCAGUACCUCUGUGCGUCGGGUAGCAGGGUUUCUUUCCUACUGUGGAAAAUGACAGAGAAUGUUAAGUAUGCAACAGAUGAAAUGUCUUAAAGUAAUUUGCAAACCGUAUCAAAGCACGGCAAGCCUCAUUUCAAACAGUUUACUGAACAUAGCAUCAGGCAAUUUUAUUCAUCUAGGGUCAGGCUACUAUGAUUUUAAUAUUUGCAUAAAAAGGUAAUUUUCCUGGAAAAAGCAUCAUCACCAGUCUACUUUAAAGUUAUAUCCUAUUCAAUUCUAUAAAGAAAAAAACAAGUUGCCUUUUAAAAAAGACACAUAAAUGCUUUCUGAGGCACAGAAGUAUACUAAGGUUUAAUAUGUUGUGUUUUAUUAUUUAUAACUCUUAAGAUUAAUUCUUUUCCUUUUUUUUUUUUUUUUUCAGAGCUGGGGACCAAAUCCAGGGCCUUGCGCUUGCUAGGCAAGCGCUCUACCACUGAGCUAAAUCCCCAGCCCCAAGAUUAAUUCUUAAUGCAGAUGGAGAAACUAUUGCACCUUGCAAAAAAGAAUGGUUAAUUUCAAAUCACAUCAUUUUCCCCCAAAAGUUGCUGUGGCUAACUUUCUGGUAUCAACAGCUAGCCCCACGUCUAAGAUAACUAGGGUAGAUCUCCCAAUUUGAGAGCUGGCCUGUGUGGUUAGGAACAGCUUUAACCCGUAAUGGAGAUUCCAGUUCCUACAUAGAGGCAUGCCAUCUGUAUGAUUUAUAAUACAAGGACUUUAUCUGCGACCAUCUCAGUGAUGUUUGUGUUGAUAAUAUUAUUCAUCUCACCAAACACUUUAAUAAAAAGAAAGCCCUGAAAUUAG